CUGGCGGCGUGCCUAACACAUGCAAGUCGAACGAGAAAGUGGAGCAAUCCAUGAGUAAAGUGGCGACCGGGUGAGUAACACGUGACUAACCUACCUCCGAGUGGGGAAUAACUCCGGGAAACCGGGGCUAAUACCGCAUAACAUCGCAAGAUCAAAGCAGCAAUGCGCUUGGAGAGGGGGUCGCGGCUGAUUAGCUAGUUGGCGGGGUAACGGCCCACCAAGGCGAAGAUCGGUAUCCGGCCUGAGAGGGCGCACGGACACACUGGAACUGAAACACGGUCCAGACUCCUACGGGAGGCAGCAGUGGGGAAUUUUGCGCAAUGGGGGAAACCCUGACGCAGCAACGCCGCGUGGAGGAUGAAGCCCUUUGGGGCGUAAACUCCUUUCGACUCGGACGAUAAUGACGGUACGAGUGGAAGAAGCACCGGCUAACUCUGUGCCAGCAGCCGCGGUAAUACAGAGGGUGCAAGCGUNGUUCGGAAUUAUUGGGCGUAAAGGGCGCGUAGGCGGUGCGGUAAGUCACCUGUGAAAUCUCCUGGCUUAACUGGGAG
rnacentral:rRNA from 1 species